rnacentral:lncRNA from 1 species
AAGUAAACUCCUACUUUGCUCCUUAUACAUACCCACUACUUUCCCUUAAUCCCUCCUGGAAUUUUGGAUGCAAGAUUUCCUACAAUCUCUCCUUGGGCUCCUAUGGGCCUCUCUUUGACUAAAUCCAAAGUCUUGGUCUUGGCCAUCACUGCAUUGGCUUCCUAAAUGCCCUCUUUAUCCGCUCCUCAUUCUGUUUCAGAUGUCUCAAUACAGAUGAGUCUCUCAAGGAAGGACCCAAGAGAUACUCUCUCCCUACCUCCAUGAGGAAAAUGGAACCCAGGGAGAGCAGCAAGCUGAUAGCAGAAUCAGGAUCACAAUGCAGAUUGCAUUGCUUUGCUUGUGAGGAGACCCCUUCAAGACUGCUGAAAAGAAGCCAUCACAUGCCCUUGGCCAGAAGCCUGGCAUAGUGAAAUUCCGAGAGGGGAGGUGAUGUCCUAAACCUGCCAUCUGCUGACCAAAAUAAUAAUCAUAGCAAUAAUCCGCUGAGCAAAUACCAAUUUGCACUUUGCUGAGUGUUGGAGUUGAGGAGGAAGAGGGGGACUGGAAGAAGCAAUGAGUGUGGUAUAAAGAGACUGGGGUU